GAGUCUCAUGUUGGGAGGAAGAAGAGACAGAAGCCCAGACACUACUCAGGGGGGAAGCAAGUGUCCUGGAAAGAGAUUCCACGCAGUCUUGACAGCUUGUCAGAUCGCCUCGUAGGAGAGACUGUAGCUGAGGCAUGAUGCUUGGUGACCGGCAGGACCACACCAUGGCCGGGACUGCAUGGCUGCACCUUCUCCUUGUGAUCUGUUUAAACCUAAACCUCGUGCCAGGACCCCAGAGGUCUGUUUAAUUGGCCUACUGAGGGAGAGCCGCAAUGUGGGAUCUAAGGGCUGCUAGGAUGAGGGCUCUGCCCCUAAUAACUCUGGUAAUGAAGUAUGUGGAAUAAAUGGUACUGAA
rnacentral:lncRNA from 1 species